rnacentral:rRNA from 1 species
UACAGCAAAAUCAAAUGAAUAUUAUUGAUUUUUAAGUAAUUAAUAUGUUGAUUAAAUAAAAAUUGGAAUAUUAUAAGAGUGAAAUAUUUUAUAAUAUUUUAAAAGUAUAUUUUUUUAGUAUGAGAUAUUAUGAAAUUGAAAAUAUAAACUAGGAUUAGAUACCCUAUUAUUUUCAUUGUAAAAUUUUAAGUCAGAGUAUUAAUAGUUAGGAUCUUUAAACUUAAAAAAUUUGGCGGUAUUAUAGUCUAUUUAGAGGAAUCUGUUAUAUAAUUGAUAAUCCACGUUGAACCUUACUUAUAUAAAUUCUUGUAUACCGCUGUUUAAGGAUAUACUUUUAGGUAAAUUUUCAAGAUAUAGUAAUAAUUAAUAUUUCAAGUCAAGGUGCAGUUAAUAUAUAAGUUGAAUAAUGGAUUACAAUAAAUUUUAUUUAUUAUGGAUUAUUACUGCAAAAGUAAUUUGAAGGUGGAUUUAAUUGUAAUUUUAUAAAGAUUAUUAAAAUGAUUUUUAGCUCUAUAAUAUGUACACAUCGCCCGUCACUCUCGUUAAUUAAGAUGAGAUAAGUCGUAACAAAGUAGGUGUAUCGGAAGAUGUACCUAGAAAGUUAAAAU